rnacentral:rRNA from 1 species
UACAUGCAGUCGAACGAACUCGCGUGAUGAUUGAAGCUUGCUUCAUGAAUCACAUUUGAGUGAGUGGCGGACGGGUGAGUAACACGUGGGUAACCUGCCCAAAAGUGGGGGAUAACAUCUGGAAACAGGUGCUAAUACCGCAUAACAACUACUUUCACAUGAUCGUAGCUUGAAAGAUGGCUCUGCUAUCGCUUUUGGAUGGACCCGCGGCGUAUUAGCURGUUGGUGAGGUAACGGCUCACCAAGGCAAUGAUACGUAGCCGACCUGAGAGGGUAAUCGGCCACAUUGGGACUGAGACACGGCCCAAACUCCUACGGGAGGCAGCAGUAGGGAAUCUUCCACAAUGGGCGAAAGCCUGAUGGAGCAAUGCCGCGUGAGUGAAGAAGGUUUUCGGAUCGUAAAACUCUGUUGUUGAAGAAGAACAUGCGUGAGAGUAACUGUUCACGUACUGACGGUAUUCAACCAGAAAGCCACGGCUAACUACGUGCCAGCAGCCGCGGUAAUACGUAGGUGGCAAGCGUUGUCCGGAUUUAUUGGGCGUAAAGAGAAUGUAGGCGGUUUAUUAAGUUUGAAGUGAAAGCCCUCGGCUCAACCGAGGAAGUGCUUCGAAAACUGGUAAACUUGAGUGCAGAAGAGGAAAGUGGAACUCCAUGUGUAGCGGUGGAAUGCGUAGAUAUAUGGAAGAACACCAGUGGCGAAGGCGGCUUUCUGGUCUGUAACUGACGCUGAGAUUCGAAAGCAUGGGUAGCAGACAGGAUUAGAUACCCUGGUAGUCCAUGCCGUAAACGAUGAGUGCUAAGUGUUGGAGGGUUUCCGCUCUUCGUGCUGCAGCUNCGCAUUAAGCACUCCCGCCUGGGGAGUAC